AUGUGUUCCUUGUAUACAAGCGACGUCCCAGAUUAUAAUUCUCUGCUGAGAUUUGAGUUGGAUUUGAGGAUUUGGAGAAUCCCUGCAGCUUUGUAACUUCAGAGGUGUAAUUAGCUGAAAACAUCAUCGUUUUGAAGAGUUCUGCGUUUUGCCAGUCACCUCUCAACUGUGUGCCAAAGAAUUCAGUGGGAAAACAUGCUCAGCAUUUGUGGGACACCAG
rnacentral:lncRNA from 1 species